GUUCUGGAAUUGAAGAUGCGUUUGGUUGCUCCUCUUCCCUUCGUUCCGUUGAAUGUUGUUCUGGUUCUUUCUGAUUUUCCUCAACUUCAGUAACCACAGGUUCACCUUUUACUGUUUCUGUAGGCUCAACUUCAGUAGCCACAGGUUCUUCUUUUACCGUUUCUGUAGCUUGAACUUCAGUAGCCACAGGUUCUUCUUUUACCAUUUCUCUAGGAUCAACUUCAGUAACCACAGGUUUGACUUUUACUGAUUCUGUCAGAUCAACUUCAGUAACCAGGGGUUCUUUUACUGUUUUUGUAAUUUCAACUUCUGUAGCCACAGCUUCUUCUUUUACUGUCUCUGUAGGAUCAACUUCAGUAACUAUAGGUUCGUCUUUUACCGUUUCUGUUGCCUCGAAUUCAGUAGCUGCAGGUUCAUCUUUUACCAUUUCUGUAGGCUCAACUACAGUUGUCACAGGUUCUUCUUUUACGGUUUCUGUAGCUUCAACUUCAGUAGCCACAGAUUCUUCUUUUACUGUUUCUGUAGCUUCAACUUCAGUAGCCACUGGUUCUUCUUUUACUGUUUCUGUAGCUUCAACUUCAGUAGCCACUGGUUCUUCUUUUACUGUUUCUGUAGCUUCAACUUCAGUAGCUGCAGGUUCGUCUUUUACCGUUUCUGUAGCCUCAACUUCAGUUGCCACAGGUUCUUCUUUUACCGUUUCUGUAGGCUCAACUUCAGUAGCCACGGGUUCUUCUUUUACUGUUUCUGUAGCUUCAGCUUCAGUAGCUAGAGGUUCUUCUUUUACCGUUUCUGUAGGAUCAACUUCAGUAACCACAGGUUCGUCUUUUACGGUUUCUGUAACCUUAACUUCAGUAGCUGCAGGUUCUUCUUUUACUGUUUCCGUAGCCUCAACUUCAGUAGCCACAAGUUCUUCUUUUAGUGUUUCUGUAGCCUCAACUUCAGUAACCACGGGUUCUUCUUUUACUAUCUCUGCA
rnacentral:lncRNA from 1 species